rnacentral:rRNA from 1 species
UGGCGGACGGGUGAGUAACGCGUGGGUAACCUGCCUCAUACAGGGGGAUAACAGUUAGAAAUGACUGCUAAUACCGCAUAAGACCACAGCACCGCAUGGUGCAGGGGUAAAAACUCCGGUGGUAUGAGAUGGACCCGCGUCUGAUUAGUUAGUUGGUGGGGUAACGGCCUACCAAGGCGGCGAUCAGUAGCCGACCUGAGAGGGUGACCGGCCACAUUGGGACUGAGACACGGCCCAAACUCCUACGGGAGGCAGCAUG